CUUUUUAUUAUGCACAGAUAAAAGAUUUAAAACUGUGGUUAUCAAAACUAUACAUCUAAGCAUCUUCACAAAAUAGCUGACACACUGAACAGAGAAAAGAAUACAACAGGGGUGUUCAAACUGGCCACAGGGAUUUUAAGGGUACUCUUUUUACCCUCAUAGAUGAUGAAAACCAGCAACAAAAUCAGGCUCAUUCAGGAAAAACCAGAAGAGAGAAGUAUUGUAUUUGGAAACUGAUAAUAGUCCUUUUCAGAAAAACAUCUGUCAGUUUCAUGAACAACCCCCAGAUAAAACAAACAUGAAAAAAAUCACAUAGGACUCACCCAACACACUGUGCUCUGUUAACACAACCAGCAGUACAAUCAUCAUUCAAACCAUGAGGUAGUUACAGUACAAAAAGACUGGCACGCGUGUGAGCACCCCACACACACUCACAAUCAUGCCCACUAAGAACACAAGCAGGAAAUGGGUUUACAAUCUUAUUACAAGGCAAAGAAAAAAACCCAUUUUUUUUGUUUAGAAAAUGCUAUAGAAACAGUUUAGACAGAAGAAAUCUCUGGCUUUUUAAAAUACAGAGUAACAGCUGGUAAACACCACAUGGUGAAAAGCUAUAGCGUAUUAUACAGACAAUCUGCCUUGGAGUUUGGGGCAUUUUAACAACAGCUUCAGCAUCAAACAAACAACAAAAUGGCCUCUGCAAAUUAAGGGUGUAGCCUGCAGAAAUAACAAAAGACUGCAGAUACAAGAGUUCAGCUGAAAUACAACAAUACUUUUAAAGAAACUUGUAGUACACAUUAUAAAAGUAGAGCUUGUACUUUGUAUUAAAACUGUAAAGUGUGAAGCAAUUAGAAAUACUGUAAUGAGAAGCUAGGGAGAAAAUACCUUAUUUUUUUCAUGUUCAUUUUUUAGAAACAUUUCAGAAAUACUUAACGACAUUCACUCUCCAAUAUGAGAUUAGGUUUUAUCGACACAGAUUUCUUGAUCUGAAUAAUAAUUCUGACAAUGAGACCCAAACAAAUAAAAGGUGAUUUUUUUCCUCUCUCUCUCUUUUAAAAAGAUCUUUUGGUUUGCAUCUAUAAAUUUGUAAAUUAAUUUUAAAUUAUUUAUAAAAUCAUUGGCAAUGUAGCAUCUCUCUUAAAAAUAUAUAUUUAAAUAUAUUACAGAAGGUUUUAAUCCUGUCCUUCUAAGACAUCAAUCUUUUAAUAUCUCCUAAUAGCUAAUUUUCUUUUUAACACGAUGGAAAAGAUUUUUUAAAAAAGCAAAGGACUGAUCGAAAGAAUUCACAGUAGCUGAAAUUAAACAUUUCAUAUGGAGUAACUUAAAUUUAUCUAAAACACUUAAAUAUAUCUUUAUACACAAAUUUUGUAGUAAAAUAUAGCUAUAAGUGACUUAAAGACUCUAGUCUUCUUUGAAGACAUCUUUAAACUUUUUUAUACAUAGAAUAUGCUGAAACAAUACAUUCCACCGAAGGUUAGGCAAAGCGCAAUAUUUUCAAACACAGGUAGCGUAAUCUAGGUCCUCCACUCUGAUACCCUUCUGUUAAAAAAAAAUUAAAGGAAAAAAAUUCUCUAAACUCAUGUCUUCUUCGUUUGUAUAUGGAAAUCUGGAAAUUUUUCAGUAGAUCAAUGUAGAUAGCCUGGAAAUCUCAGCCCUAAAGUAAUCUGUUUUAGUUAAAAUGUUCCUUAUUGAAAAAAAAAAAUGUUCCUUAUUGAAUGUGUAUAUCUAUCAGGUAAGUCAUAUUAUUACUCAACGAUUUGGUAAAAAUGAUUGUCAAUUUCCACAUACUUGUUUCCCAUGUAGACACUGCCCUAAGGUUUUAAGCUUCAUCAGGAUUACCUACUGAGGUUCCAUUCACAGACAACCAGGCAUAACUUCCUUAUUUUAAGGGCAGUGGGAUUUGCUUAUGAAUAUUUUGGGGGUAGAAUCUAUCUUGUUCUACUUAUGGAAUUCUAAGUUGUUUGGGGGAAAUUCUGGAAAAAGAAUAAUUUGCAAUGAAGCUAUCUUCAGCAGUAAAAUAAUUUAGCAUGAUAAUUCCCCUCUGGCAUUCUUUUUUUUUUUUUUUUUAACAAGGAGGUAUCACUGAGCUUAUUUUAGCUGCGAAGUGGCAUCAUAUUAUUCCAUUUAAUGAAAUUCACCUCAAGCCCUUUUUGACAUAUUAAAUAUAUGGGAUAUAUUUAAGGCAAGAGAAGUAAGGCAAUCCAAACGAGUGCCCUUUUCCAAUCUCAGCACUGUCUUGGUGGAAUUGGUGACACUAUUCAGAUAACCAACUGGAGACCGACAGGAUUUGCCAUGCAUUUGCAUCUUGCUAGAGUUUGGUUUUUAUGAAAGGGCCUAUUUUUUUUUAAGUUGACAUAUUUUGAGUGGAAACACUCACCCUACCAAAUAUACUUAAGUUGCAACUCUAAAAGCAUAAGGACAUUUUCAAAUUUUCUCUUCUUCAACUGAGAAAAUGAAUGUGCCAGGUGACAUAUUAUAUACUUGUACUUGCAUACACAUAAAAAUAUAUCACUGUGCAAAUUCGUCCUUGAUUUUAUAACUGAAUUUCACCUCAAAUUAUACAUUAAUUUGUCAGAACAAAAUAUUAGGAAUGGGCACAAAUCUGUGGUUCCUGAUUUUGGUCAUUUUCAAUUUCUGUAGGCCUGUAAGAAAUACAAAAUUUGCAUUAAGACAUUUUGCAGUGGUGUAUGCAAGUAUGGGAAGAAACAGGAAGCUGAUAAGGUCAUCAGCAUUGGUUUUGGCCCAGGGCACAAGAAAGGAAUGUUGCCUUAACACUUGUCAGGGUGCAGUCCCUGAGGGCAGCACCCAUCAAGGGACACAUCAGACCCCACAGGUUGUGGCAGCAAGGUCAGAAGUGUGCAUCCAGACGAAGGUGCAAAUUAGACAGGAGGAUCGCUUAGAAAGCCUCAAAGCAUUUCUUGUUUUACAUCUUGGUUCAGAUAUAAAGAAUCUUUGGCCACAUCUCCUCACUGGUUCUACUAUCUGGCUAUUAACCCUUUACCAACUCCUUGAGUCUGGGUAAAACUCAGGGCCCCAAAUUAUGGAUGUUCUCACCUGGACAAAGCAGCAUUUUAAAAACUGGCAUGUGUUUCACAUUGAAAACCCCCAAGCCUGUGAGGGGCUGGUGGAGAAGACCACCAUUUUAGCUUUCUCACAUGAAUUCUAGUGUGGUACAGAAGCCCAGGGUCAUGUUUAUACUAGCCCUGGGUGUGGGGUGAAUACAAUGGGUGAUCUUUAUACUGAAAUUCACUGUCUUUACAAGGGAACCAAAAUCCAGCCCUCUGAGUCUGGACACGAGGCUCAGCCAUUGGUCCUGCCCUUGGCAGUAGCUGAGCUGAGCUGGGCUGGGCUGGGCUGGGUUGGGCUAGGCUGUGCUGCUGCUGGAGCAAGGCGUGCUCUGCGUGCUGCCGAUGCUGUGGGCAGCACUGCUGUUUUCCGAGGCUGGCGGGGAGGUGGGGACUUGCUGCCUUCCUGCUGUCUCCCCUGCAGUUAAUAAAGAAAAGGCAGAGUCAGAGAAAGACGCAUAUUAUGUAUGUGCAUUCCUGAAAAGAUCAUUUAUUCCGCAUUUGCCAUUUUAACUGAUAUUUUUCUCAACCAGGGCAGAAGCAACUAGACUAGGUCCUAGAUGGCUGGAAUACCUUCUAAAAUAAGGUUUUGCUAUUUGUUGUUUUACUUUUAAAGCAUCAUGAAUGGGAAAAAGAAGACAGCUGACUGACAGGCAGCUCUAGUGGCUAAGAC
rnacentral:lncRNA from 1 species